rnacentral:ncRNA from 1 species
AUCAUGAUUGGGGAAGUGAGGUGUAAAUCCUCCACAGUGCCGCUACGGUAAUCCUAAGUUUUCAAAAACAAAGGAAAGUCCGAGUACCAAUCAUGAA